AAGGAUAUAGCUGCAAAAGUCACAUCUGAUAAGAUUAUCCACAUUUUCGACGAUGGUACUCAUAGAGUUGAAUUUCAGUUGAUAGAUAUGUAAUUUUUUUUGUUGCUAAACAUACGUUGUCAUGCACUCAUAUCAAUUCUACUGUUGAGACUAUAUUCUUGCGUGGUGUAUAAUUUGGAAUGAUUAUUAUCUGUCUCGCCUCCCUCAUGUUCAAAUCCUGGCUCCGCCCCUGGCCUGGCAGCCGGGCCUCCUUCGUCAGUUGUGCCUUGUUCCUCAAUUGAAUGGUCAAUCAGGCCCUCCACGUGUGUAUUGGGGCGCUCAAACAAACUCAUGCCAUGAUUGUACGUGCAUGGAUGCACGAACUGAACGUACAACACAAACACGGCGGUGCUAAGAUUAUAUUGAAUCCGAACUGAACGAUUUCUCAGUAAAAUUUCUGUAUAGAAAUAUCCCCAGGAUUGAUGCAUUAUCAGGCUGAACUCCUUCUGCGCUACCAAGUACGUCAGGUCGACCUCUAGCCCAAAUUCCCAAUGCAUCCCAAUCUUAGCUAGUACACCCCUCCAUGGCAUGUGAAACAGGAAAAACAGAUCAAUCCAUCCAAUUCCAAUGCAAGUGAAAAACAAAACUACUCUAGUUGGUGGUCAUGGUUCCCUGGCAACAGAGAAGAUGGUUGCAACGUUUCUACUAGACUGUGAACCCAACCUUUUAUGGACAGAAAGUAAGUGCAGGCGGUGUUGGCCAAACAUUAAUGGCAAGCUGCAUUACAUACUAGCAUGCAUAUAUAUGCGCCUGAAGGCCUGAUAUAGUCUUGAUGAAAAUGGGGUCUUAGAAAGGAAAAGGACAAGCUCCCGCCUAUCAUGAGAUCCUCUUAUGGGUAGGGAAAGUGUUCCAUGUAGACGGGCGAUCUCAACCACACAAAGUAGUGAAGUUUCAGUAUAUUUGAGAGUACCAUACUACUGCAGAAACUAUGGAGCACCGAGGCUUGGAAGCAGAACAGUUGUUGGGGGACAUAAUCCUCGGCUGAGGGGAUGUCAUGACGUAUCUCAACAACACCGAUGGUCUGGGAGGAGAGGGGGAAGCAGGCUCCGGUGAUCGAACAAUGGAUGAGGAAGGACAUGAUCAUGAUGGCUCCGGUGACUGAAUGCCGGUGGAAGAAGGAGACUGUAAUGACGGCUCCGGUGACCGAACGGAGGAGGGAGCUGUUGCAAAUUCCGUGAGCCCUCCGGAUCGAGCCAAACUUCGGUAACGAGACGAGGCCCGAAGAAAAGGUUGCGUCAGGAUGAAAGGUUCACGAUCACAGCAAUCGUGGGCGAUGGCCAACCGAUUGAACUCAGCCAGACCAAGGAAGCAUUUUCUGCUCAGUGCGGGGUUCUUGUUAGGGACAUGAUCAUGGUCAGCAUCCACCAAUCGAAUAGGACUAAGAACGAAGACUCUCAACUUCCUUAUGUCCAUGAUAGACAGAAAGAUGGUCUUUGGACCGCACUGAAGGCAAAUUUCACCCUAACACCAGAGGAGGAUCCGGAUAAGCCAGUUAUAGAGCCAUUGGUCAAGGCUCAUGCUAUUAAGAAGAUGGCAGAUCUAUUCAGGAGGUGGAAGAAUGAGUUGAAAUCAACGUAUGUCGACAAAAGGGAAGACUCCAGAAUUCACCGGCCGAUUUGAGAAGAUAAGAGAUCACUGGCCCGCAUUUGUGGCCUACAAGACAUAUGGAACUUGACUUUAGAUGUUAGGGAUUCUAAGAGAUCUUAUAUUGUAUAUAUGUAGCUAGUAGUGCCGGAUAGAUAUACGAAAACUUGUUGUUCGACCAAUCUCUCAUAGAAGGAGGAGGUCGA